CUAAGCAUAUCAAUAAGCGGAGGAAAAGAAACCAACAGGGAUUGCCUUAGUAACGGCGAGUGAAGCGGCAACAGCUCAAAUUUGAAAUCUGGCUCCUUCGGGGUCCGAGUUGUAAUUUGCAGAGGAUGCUUCGAGUUAUGGUUCCUUCCGAGUUCCCUGGAACGGGACGCCAUAGAGGGUGAGAGCCCCGUCUGGUAGGAAACCAUGCUCAUGUGAAGCUCCCUCGACGAGUCGAGUAGUUUGGGAAUGCUGCUCUAAGGGGAGGUAUACUCCUUCCAAGGCUAAAUACCGGCUAGAGACCGAUAGCGCACAAGUAGAGUGAUCGAAAGAUGAAAAGUACUUUGAAAAGAGAGUCAAACAGCACGUGAAAUUGUUAAAAGGGAAGCGCUCGCUACCAGACGUGGGUUCGGUGGUUCAACCAGGUCCAUGACCUGGGGCACUCCGCCGGCCCAGGCCAGCAUCAGCUUUCCGUCGGGGGCAAAGGCGUCGGGAAUGUGGCUCUCCUUCGGGGGAGUGUUAUAGCCCGUCGCGUCAUACUCUUCGGGGGGCUGAGGUACGCGCUCCGCAAGGAUGCUGGCGUAAUGGUAGCUAGUGACCCGUCUUGAAACACGGACCAAGGAGUCAACCUUAUGUGCGAGUGCCCGGGCGUAAAACCCCAGCGCGGAAUGAAAGUGAACGUAGGUGAGAGCUUCGGCGCAUCACCGACCGAUCCUGAUGUCCUCGGACGGAUUUGAGUGAGAGCAUAUAGGGUUGGACCCGAAAGAAGAUGAACUAUGCGUGUGUAGGGUGAAGCCAGAGGAAACUCUGGUGGAGGCUCGCAGCGGUUCUGACGUGCAAAUCGAUCGUCAAACAUGCGCAUGGGGGCGAAAGACUAAUCGAAUCUUCUGGUAGCUGGUUUCCGCCGAAG
rnacentral:rRNA from 1 species